UACGGAGGGUGCAAGCGUUAUCCGGAUUCACUGGGUUUAAAGGGCGCGUAGGCGGCUUGGCAAGUCGGGGGUGAAAUCUUUCGGCUCAACCGGAAAAGUGCCUCCGAUACUGCCAGGCUCGAGGGGGAUAGGGGCGGACGGAACUUCCGGUGGAGCGGUGAAUGCGUUGAGUAUCGGAAGGGAACGCCGGUGGCGAAAGCGGUCCGCUGGGUCCCUACUGACGCUGAGGCGCGAAAGCCAGGGGAGCAAACGGG
rnacentral:rRNA from 1 species